AACGAACGCUGGCGGCAGGCCUAACACAUGCAAGUCGAACGCCGUAGCAAUACGGAGUGGCAGACGGGUGAGUAACACGUGGGAACAUACCCUUCGGUUCGGAAUAACUCAGGGAAACUUGAGCUAAUACCGGAUACGUCCGCGAGGAGAAAGAUUCAUCGCCGGAGGAUUGGCCCGCGUCUGAUUAGCUUGUUGGUGAGGCAAUGGCUCACCAAGGCGACGAUCAGAGCUGGUCUGAGAGGAUGAUCAGCCACAUUGGGACUGAGACACGGCCCAAACUCCUACGGGAGGCAGCAGUGGGGAAUAUUGGACAAUGGGCGCAAGCCUGAUCCAGCCAUGCCGCGUGAGUGAUGAAGGCCCUAGGGUUGUAAAGCUCCUUUACCCGGGAAGAUAAUGACUGUACCGGGAGAAUAAGCCCCGGCUAACUUCGUGCCAGCCGCCGCGGUAA
rnacentral:rRNA from 1 species